rnacentral:rRNA from 1 species
GCUCUGUGGGAUCAGUGGCGAACGGGUGAGUAACACGUGAGCAACCUGCCCCUGACUCUGGGAUAAGCGCUGGAAACGGCGUCUAAUACUGGAUAUGUGACGUGACCGCAUGGUCUGCGUCUGGAAAGAAUUUCGGUUGGGGAUGGGCUCGCGGCCUAUCAGCUUGUUGGUGAGGUAAUGGCUCACCAAGGCGUCGACGGGUAGCCGGCCUGAGAGGGUGACCGGCCACACUGGGACUGAAACACGGCCCAAACUCCUACGGGAGGCAGCAGUGGGGAAUAUUGCACAAUGGGCGCAAGCCUGAUGCAGCAACGCCCCGUGAGGGACAACGCCCUUCGGGUUGUAAACCUCUUUUACAGAAAAAACCAAAAGUGACCGUACCUGCAAAAAAAGCCCCGGC